CCGCUCACCUGGUUCACUCCUCUCUGAACAAACAGACUCACCACAUGGUGGAGGCCUCAUCCUUUCAGGUCUGGACUGUGCACAAUUGGCGACACAGUCGGUCUGACAGCUCUGAGCCUCGACUGCUUCUGGCACCAGCUGCUGCAUCGACCCAGCAGCCACACAUAAAGAAUGACUUCAGCCAAAUGCAACAGCAACAUAGAUGUUUGAAGACAGUGUCAUGACGGACAAUGUAUAAUUCCACUAUGAACUCCUUACACCAACUACAAAUAGUAGCAGCUUCCCCCCAACCUUCAGUCCCUGCACCAGGCUAACAGAUUCCAGACCAGUGUGUCCUGUUUGACUCUAAGCCCCAUGUGUUAGAACAAGACUGUUGAAUAUCUUGUUUCUAAAAAGUCACUGCCACAACCAGAAAUAGUGGCCAGAGCAGUGAAAAUAUCCAAGUCAUAAUAAAGUUACUAUAUGUAUUUGAGAAAAUAUUGACUCAUAUUAACAUUGAAUGUGUAAAUCUUAGAUUAGAUUAAUCCAGCUCACACCACAUACUCCUUAUGAUUGAGUAACCUUCUAUCUCCUCAUUUUAGAGAAAGUGAAAAAAAAAAGCCUGGAUCUGCCCAAUCUACAAGAUUUCUCUGAAAUCAGUUCAGUUGUGUUGUUAAUUAUCUUGACGGACAGGAAAACAAAUGAACGGCAAAAUAAUUUCUUCUUAGUGGAGGUGAAAAAUAGGUAAGGACUAGAGGAUUGUAUGU